UGGGGAAUUUUCCGCAAUGGGCGAAAGCCUGACGGAGCAAUACCGCGUGAGGGAUGAAAGCCUGUGGGUUGUAAACCUCUUUUCUCAAGGAAGAAGUUCUGACGGUACUUGAGGAAUAAGCAUCGGCUAACUCUGUGCCAGCAGCCGCGGUAAUACAGAGGAUGCAAGCGUUAUCCGGAAUCACUGGGCAUAAAGCGUCUGUAGGUGGUUUAGCAAGUCUGCUGUUAAAGACUAGGGCUUAACCCUAGGAAAGCAGUGGAAACUGCUAGACUUGAGUGUGGUAGAGGUAGAGGGAAUUCCUAGUGUAGCGGUGAAAUGCGUAGAUAUUAGGAAGAACACCAAUGGCGAAAGCACUCUACUGGGCCAUAACUGACACUGAGAGACGACAGCUAGGGGAGCA
rnacentral:rRNA from 1 species